rnacentral:rRNA from 1 species
GAUGAACGCUGGCGGCGUGCCUAAUACAUGCAAGUCGAGCGAACAGACGAGGAGCUUGCUCCUUUGACGUUAGCGGCGGACGGGUGAGUAACACGUAGGUAACCUACCUAUAAGACUGGGAUAACUUCGGGAAACCGGAGCUAAUACCGGAUAAUAUUUCGAACCGCAUGGUUCGAUAGUGAAAGAUGGCUUUGCUAUCACUUAUAGAUGGACCUGCGCCGUAUUAGCUAGUUGGUAAGGUAACGGCUUACCAAGGCAACGAUACGUAGCCGACCUGAAAGGGUGAUCGGCCACACUGGAACUGAGACACGGUCCAGACUCCUACGGGAGGCAGCAGUAGGGAAUCUGCCGCAAUGGGCGAAAGCCUGACGGAGCAACGCCGCGUGAGUGAUGAAGGUCUUCGGAUCGUAAAACUCUGUUAUUAGGGAAGAACAAACGUGUAAGUAACUGUGCACGUCUUGACGGUACCUAAUCAGAAAGCCACGGCUAACUACGUG